rnacentral:rRNA from 1 species
UUGCCAUCAUUAAGUUGGGCACUCUAAGUUGACUGCCGGUGACAAACCGGAGGAAGGUGGGGAUGACGUCAAAUCAUCAUGCCCCUUAUGAUUUGGGCUACACACGUGCUACAAUGGACAAUACAAAGGGCAGCGAAACCGCGAGGUCAAGCAAAUCCCAUAAAGUUGUUCUCAGUUCGGAUUGUAGUCUGCAACUCGACUACAUGAAGCUGGAAUCGCUAGUAAUCGUAGAUCAGCAUGCUACGGUGAAUACGUUCCCGGGUCUUGUACACACCGCCCGUCACACCACGAGAGUUUGUAACACCCGAAGCCGGUGGAGUAACCUUUUAGGAGCUAGCCGUCGAAGGUGGGACAAAUGAUUGGGGUGAAGUCGUAACAAGGUAGCCGUAUCGGAAGGUGCGGCUGGAUCACCUCCUUU